AGUAUUGGGUUGGCCAAAAAGUGUGUUCAGGUUUUUCCAUACCAAUUUAUGCCAAAACUCGAACAAAGUUUUCGCUAACCCAAUAUG
rnacentral:miRNA from 1 species